AGAUUACCAUCCCACUUAUUGGUCGUUGGAUAAGUUGUUUUUAAGGGCUGGGAGAGUCUUAUCUGUGCAUUUUCGAGCUCAGAAAGGGCCUCGGAUGGCGUUUGGGAUUAAUUCGCCUGACGUUCAACUGAAAAGGACACCCCAGAUCCCCAGGAAGACCUCCUCACCUCAUAUAUCUCUCUAUGCGAAUACGAAGCGUCAAAAGCGUGCAAAUGUCUUGACUACGGUACACCAAUAAGUUCGGUGCAAAAUGAAUCCAAGGGC